AUGCAGUCGAGCGGCAGCACGGGUACUUGUACCUGGUGGCGAGCGGCGGACGGGUGAGUAAUACCUAGGAAUCUGCCUGGUAGUGGGGGAUAACGUUCGGAAACGGACGCUAAUACCGCAUACGUCCUACGGGAGAAAGCAGGGGACCUUCGGGCCUUGCGCUAUCAGAUGAGCCUAGGUCGGAUUAGCUAGUUGGUGAGGUAAUGGCUCACCAAGGCUACGAUCCGUAACUGGUCUGAGAGGAUGAUCAGUCACACUGGAACUGAGACACGGUCCAGACUCCUACGGGAGGCAGCAGUGGGGAAUAUUGGACAAUGGGCGAAAGCCUGAUCCAGCCAUGCCGCGUGUGUGAAGAAGGUCUUCGGAUUGUAAAGCACUUUAAGUUGGGAGGAAGGGCAGUUACCUAAUACGUGAUUGUUUUGACGUUACCGACAGAAUAAGCACCGGCUAACUCUGUGCCAGCAGCCGCGGUAAUACAGAGGGUGCAAGCGUUAAUCGGAAUUACUGGGCGUAAAGCGCGCGUAGGUGGUUCGUUAAGUUGGAUGUGAAAUCCCCGGGCUCAACCUGGGAACUGCAUUCAAAACUGUCGAGCUAGAGUAUGGUAGAGGGUGGUGGAAUUUCCUGUGUAGCGGUGAAAUGCGUAGAUAUANGAAGGAACACCAGUGGCGAAGGCGACCACCUGGACUGAUACUGACACUGAGGUGCGAAAGCGUGGGGAGCAAACAGGGAUUAGAUACCCUGGUAGUCCACGCCGUAAACGAUGUCAACUAGCCGUUGGGAAGCCUUGAGCUCUUAUUGGCGCAGCUAA
rnacentral:rRNA from 1 species